GUAGUCUCGCACAGAUGCAUAUCAAUAAGCGGAGGAAAAGAAACUAACAAGGAUUCCCCUAGUAACGGCGAGUGAAGCGGGAAGAGCUCAAAUUUGAAAUCUUAAAGGGUUUCCCUUUACGAAUUGUAGUUUAAAGAAGUGUUUUCUGUUGAGGUUUUGGUAAAAGUUCUUUGGAAUAGGACAUCAUAGAGGGUGAGAAUCCCGUAUUUGACCUUUACUUUCAACUUUGUGAUACACUUUCAAAGAGUCGGAUUGUUUGGGAAUGCAGUCCAAAAUGGGUGGUAAAUUUCAUCUAAAGCUAAAUAUUGGCGAGAGACCGAUAGCGAACAAGUACCGUGAGGGAAAGAUGAAAAGAACUUUGAAAAGAGAGUUAAACAGUACGUGAAAUUGUCAAAAGGGAAGCGUUUGACACCAGUGUUGUUUUUCUGAAAAUCAAUUAAAGAACUGUUUAUGCUAAGUUGUUUAGACUUUAUCAGCUAACUGUUUAGUUUUGAGCUUUUCUUUAAUGCACUUUUCAGUUAACAAGUCAACAUCAAUUUCUUUUGCUGUAAAAAAGCUUGAGGAAGGUGGCUUGAGAUUCGUCUUAAGUGUUUAUAGCCUCUUGCCUAUGCAGUCGGAGAGGAUUGAGGUCUGCAGCGUAGAUCCUUCGGGGCUAAAUGCAUUUGUGCUAAGUUAUAGCAUUUUAUAGACAACUUGUUGACUAUGAUUUGUCUUGUAGCUUACUCGCUUAUGUUAUUUUACCUACGCUUAGGAUGUUGAUCUGUAGUGCGUGCGC
rnacentral:rRNA from 1 species